GGUGUAAAGUUCUUUCGGCAGGGAAGAAACAUGACGGUACCUGCAGAAGCAGCUGCGGCUAACUACGUGC
rnacentral:rRNA from 1 species